rnacentral:rRNA from 1 species
GGUUAAGCGACUAAGCGUACACGGUGGAUGCCCUGGCAGUCAGAGGCGAUGAAGGACGUGCUAAUCUGCGAAAAGCGUCGGUAAGGUGAUAUGAACCGUUAUAACCGGCGAUGUCCGAAUGGGGAAACCCAGUGCAAUUCGUUGCACUAUCGUUAACUGAAUACAUAGGUUAACGAGGCGAACCGGGGGAACUGAAACAUCUAAGUACCCCGAGGAAAAGAAAUCAACCGAGAUUCCCCCAGUAGCGGCGAGCGAACGGGGAGCAGCCCAGAGUCUGAAUCAGCUUGUGUGUUAGUGGAACGGUCUGGAAAGUCCGACGGUACAGGGUGAUAGUCCCGUACACCAAAAUGCACAGGUUGUGAACUCGAAGAGUAGGGCGGGACACGUGGUAUCCUGUCUGAAUAUGGGGGGACCAUCCUCCAAGGCUAAAUACUCCUGACUGACCGAUAGUGAACCAGUACCGUGAGGGAAAGGCGAAAAGAACCCCGGCGAGGGGAGUGAAAAAGAACCUGAAACCGUGUACGUACAAGCAGUGGGAGCACCUUCGGGUGUGACUGCGUACCUUUUGUAUAAUGGGUCAGCGACUUAUAUUCUGUAGCAAGGUUAACCGUAUAGGGGAGCCGCAGGGAAACCGAGUCUUAACUGGGCGUUAAGUUGCAGGGUAUAGACCCGAAACCCGGUGAUCUAGCCAUGGGCAGGUUGAAGGUUGGGUAACACUAACUGGAGGACCGAACCGACUAAUGUUGAAAAAUUAGCGGAUGACUUGUGGCUGGGGGUGAAAGGCCAAUCAAACCGGGAGAUAGCUGGUUCUCCCCGAAAGCUAUUUAGGUAGCGCCUCGUGAAUUCAUCUUCGGGGGUAGAGCACUGUUUCGGCUAGGGGGUCAUCCCGACUUACCAACCCGAUGCAAACUACGAAUACCGAAGAAUGUUAUCACGGGAGACACACGGCGGGUGCUAACGUCCGUCGUGAAGAGGGAAACAACCCAGACCGCCAGCUAAGGUCCCAAAGUCAUGGUUAAGUGGGAAACGAUGUGGGAAGGCACAGACAGCCAGGAUGUUGGCUUAGAAGCAGCCAUCAUUUAAAGAAAGCGUAAUAGCUCACUGGUCGAGUCGGCCUGCGCGGAAGAUGUAACGGGGCUAAACCAUGCACCGAAGCUGCGGCAGCGACACUAUGUGUUGUUGGGUAGGGGAGCGUUCUGUAAGCCUGUGAAGGUGUGCUGUGAGGCAUGCUGGAGGUAUCAGAAGUGCGAAUGCUGACAUAAGUAACGAUAAAGCGGGUGAAAAGCCCGCUCGCCGGAAGACCAAGGGUUCCUGUCCAACGUUAAUCGGGGCAGGGUGAGUCGACCCCUAAGGCGAGGCCGAAAGGCGUAGUCGAUGGGAAACAGGUUAAUAUUCCUGUACUUGGUGUUACUGCGAAGGGGGGACGGAGAAGGCUAUGUUAGCCGGGCGACGGUUGUCCCGGUUUAAGCAUGUAGGCUGGUUAUCCAGGCAAAUCCGGAUAAUCAAGGCUGAGGUGUGAUGACGAGGUACUACGGUGCUGAAGUAACAAAUGCCCUGCUUCCAGGAAAAGCCUCUAAGCAUCAGGUAACAUCAAAUCGUACCCCAAACCGACACAGGUGGUCAGGUAGAGAAUACCAAGGCGCUUGAGAGAACUCGGGUGAAGGAACUAGGCAAAAUGGUGCCGUAACUUCGGGAGAAGGCACGCUGGUGUGUAGGUGAAGUCCCUGCGGAUGGAGCUGAGACCAGUCGAAGAUACCAGCUGGCUGCAACUGUUUAUUAAAAACACAGCACUGUGCAAACACGAAAGUGGACGUAUACGGUGUGACGCCUGCCCGGUGCCGGAAGGUUAAUUGAUGGGGUUAUCCGUAAGGAGAAGCUCUUGAUCGAAGCCCCGGUAAACGGCGGCCGUAACUAUAACGGUCCUAAGGUAGCGAAAUUCCUUGUCGGGUAAGUUCCGACCUGCACGAAUGGCGUAAUGAUGGCCAGGCUGUCUCCACCCGAGACUCAGUGAAAUUGAACUCGCUGUGAAGAUGCAGUGUACCCGCGGCAAGACGGAAAGACCCCGUGAACCUUUACUAUAGCUUGACACUGAACAUUGAGCCUUGAUGUGUAGGAUAGGUGGGAGGCUUUGAAGCGUGGACGCCAGUCUGCGUGGAGCCAACCUUGAAAUACCACCCUUUAAUGUUUGAUGUUCUAACGUUGGCCCCUGACCGGGGUUGCGGACAGUGUCUGGUGGGUAGUUUGACUGGGGCGGUCUCCUCCCAAAGCGUAACGGAGGAGCACGAAGGUUAGCUAAUCCUGGUCGGACAUCAGGAGGUUAGUGCAAUGGCAUAAGCUAGCUUGACUGCGAGCGUGACGGCGCGAGCAGGUGCGAAAGCAGGUCAUAGUGAUCCGGUGGUUCUGAAUGGAAGGGCCAUCGCUCAACGGAUAAAAGGUACUCCGGGGAUAACAGGCUGAUACCGCCCAAGAGUUCAUAUCGACGGCGGUGUUUGGCACCUCGAUGUCGGCUCAUCACAUCCUGGGGCUGAAGUAGGUCCCAAGGGUAUGGCUGUUCGCCAUUUAAAGUGGUACGCGAGCUGGGUUUAGAACGUCGUGAGACAGUUCGGUCCCUAUCUGCCGUGGGCGCUGGAGAAUUGAGGGGGGCUGCUCCUAGUACGAGAGGACCGGAGUGGACGCAUCACUGGUGUUCGGGUUGUCAUGCCAAUGGCACUGCCCGGUAGCUAAAUGCGGAAGAGAUAAGUGCUGAAAGCAUCUAAGCACGAAACUUGCCCCGAGAUGAGUUCUCCCUGAGACUUUAAGUCUCCUGAAGGAACGUUGAAGACGACGACGUUGAUAGGCCGGGUGUGUAAGCGCAGCGAUGCGUUGAGCUAACCGGUACUAAUGAACCGUGAGGCUUAACCUU